UUGUCCAGGCAAAUCCGGAUAAUCAAGGCUGAGGUGUGAUGACGAGGCACUACGGUGCUGAAGUAACAAAUGCCCUGCUUCCAGGAAAAGCCUCUAAGCAUCAGGUAACAUUAAAUCGUACCCCAAACCGACACAGGUGGUCAGGUAGAGAAUACCAAGGCGCUUGAGAGAACUCGGGUGAAGGAACUAGGCAAAAUGGUGCCGUAACUUCGGGAGAAGGCACGCUGGUGUGUAGGUGAAGUCCCUGCGGAUGGAGCUGAGACCAGUCGAAGAUACCAGCUGGCUGCAACUGUUUAUUAAAAACACAGCACUGUGCAAACACGAAAGUGGACGUAUACGGUGUGACGCCUGCCCGGUGCCGGAAGGUUAAUUGAUGGGGUUAUCCGUAAGGAGAAGCUCUUGAUCGAAGCCCCGGUAAACGGCGGCCGUAACUAUAACGGUCCUAAGGUAGCGAAAUUCCUUGUCGGGUAAGUUCCGACCUGCACGAAUGGCGUAAUGAUGGCCAGGCUGUCUCCACCCGAGACUCAGUGAAAUUGAACUCGCUGUGAAGAUGCAGUGUACCCGCGGCAAGACGGAAAGACCCCGUGAACCUUUACUAUAGCUUGACACUGAACAUUGAGCCUUGAUGUGUAGGAUAGGUGGGAGGCUUUGAAGCGUGGACGCCAGUCUGCGUGGAGCCAACCUUGAAAUACCACCCUUUAAUGUUUGAUGUUCUAACGUUGGCCCCUGACCGGGGUUGCGGACAGUGUCUGGUGGGUAGUUUGACUGGGGCGGUCUCCUCCCAAAGCGUAACGGAGGAGCACGAAGGUUAGCUAAUCCUGGUCGGACAUCAGGAGGUUAGUGCAAUGGCAUAAGCUAGCUUGACUGCGAGCGUGACGGCGCGAGCAGGUGCGAAAGCAGGUCAUAGUGAUCCGGUGGUUCUGAAUGGAAGGGCCAUCGCUCAACGGAUAAAAGGUACUCCGGGGAUAACAGGCUGAUACCGCCCAAGAGUUCAUAUCGACGGCGGUGUUUGGCACCUCGAUGUCGGCUCAUCACAUCCUGGGGCUGAAGUAGGUCCCAAGGGUAUGGCUGUUCGCCAUUUAAAGUGGUACGCGAGCUGGGUUUAGAACGUCGUGAGACAGUUCGGUCCCUAUCUGCCGUGGGCGCUGGAGAAUUGAGGGGGGCUGCUCCUAGUACGAGAGGACCGGAGUGGACGCAUCACUGGUGUUCGGGUUGUCAUGCCAAUGGCACUGCCCGGUAGCUAAAUGCGGAAGAGAUAAGUGCUGAAAGCAUCUAAGCACGAAACUUGCCCCGAGAUGAGUUCUCCCUGAGACUUUAAGUCUCCUGAAGGAACGUUAAAGACGAUGACGUUGAUAGGCCGGGUGUGUAAGCGCAGCGAUGCGUUGAGCUAACCGGUACUAAUGAACCGUGAGGCUUAACC
rnacentral:rRNA from 1 species